rnacentral:snRNA from 1 species
AUACUUACCUGGCAUAGGCGGACAAUGAUCACAAAGGUUGUCCUCCCAGGUCGAGGCUCGUCCAUUGCACUUAGGGCGGGCUGAAGCCUGCGACCACCCUUAUCUUUUUUUAUUCAAAUUAAAAGCGCUUUUUUUUAAUAAUGAUAUCUUUUGAAUGUAAAUUUGC